UGACCUCGAUCAGAGGA
rnacentral:rRNA from 1 species